rnacentral:rRNA from 1 species
AACGAACGCUGGCGGCAGGCUUAACACAUGCAAGUCGAACGCCCCGCAAGGGGAGUGGCAGACGGGUGAGUAACGCGUGGGAACAUACCCUUUCCUGCGGAAUAGCUCCGGGAAACUGGAAUUAAUACCGCAUACGCCCUACGGGGGAAAGAUUUAUCGGGGAAGGAUUGGCCCGCGUUGGAUUAGCUAGUUGGUGGGGUAAAGGCCUACCAAGGCGACGAUCCAUAGCUGGUCUGAGAGGAUGAUCAGCCACAUUGGGACUGAGACACGGCCCAAACUCCUACGGGAGGCAGCAGUGGGGAAUAUUGGACAAUGGGCGCAAGCCUGAUCCAGCCAUGCCGCGUGAGUGAUGAAGGCCUUAGGGCUGUAAAGCUCUUUCACCGAUGAAGAUAAUGACGGUAGUCGGAGAAGAAGCCCCGGCUAACUUCGUG